UGUACCCGCGGCAAGACGGAAAGACCCCGUGAACCUUUACUAUAGCUUGACACUGAACAUUGAGCCUUGAUGUGUAGGAUAGGUGGGAGGCUUUGAAGUGUGGACGCCAGUCUGCAUGGAGCCGACCUUGAAAUACCACCCUUUAAUGUUUGAUGUUCUAACGUGGACCCGUUACCCGGGUUGCGGACAGUGUCUGGUGGGUAGUUUGACUGGGGCGGUCUCCUCCUAAAGAGUAACGGAGGAGCACGAAGGUUGGCUAAUCCUGGUCGGACAUCAGGAGGUUAGUGCAAUGGCAUAAGCCAGCUUGACUGCGAGCGUGACGGCGCGAGCAGGUGCGAAAGCAGGUCAUAGUGAUCCGGUGGUUCUGAAUGGAAGGGCCAUCGCUCAACGGAUAAAAGGUACUCCGGGGAUAACAGGCUGAUACCGCCCAAGAGUUCAUAUCGACGGCGGUGUUUGGCACCUCGAUGUCGGCUCAUCACAUCCUGGGGCUGAAGUAGGUCCCAAGGGUAUGGCUGUUCGCCAUUUAAAGUGGUACGCGAGCUGGGUUUAGAACGUCGUGAGACAGUUCGGUCCCUAUCUGCCGUGGGCGCUGGAGAACUGAGGGGGGCUGCUCCUAGUACGAGAGGACCGGAGUGGACGCAUCACUGGUGUUCGGGUUGUCAUGCCAAUGGCACUGCCCGGUAGCUAAAUGCGGAAGAGAUAAGUGCUGAAAGCAUCUAAGCACGAAACUUGCCCCGA
rnacentral:rRNA from 1 species